rnacentral:rRNA from 1 species
GUAGGGGGGCGAGCGUUGUCCGGGAUUUAUUGGGGCGUAAAGAGCUCGUAGGCGGCUCAGCAAGUCGGCCGUGAAAGCCUGAGGGCUCAACCUCAGGAUGCCGGUCGAAACUGCUGUGGCUAGGGUUCGGUAGAGGAGAGUGGAAUUCCCGGUGUAGCGGUGAAAUGCGCAGAUAUCGGGAGGAACACCAGUAGCGAAGGCGGCUCUCUGGGCCGACACCGACGCUGAGGAGCGAAAGCUAGGGGAGCAAACAGGAUUAGAUACCCUGGUAGUCCUAGCCGUAAACGUUGGGAACUAGGUGUGGCGGAUUCAUUGACAUCUGCCGUGCCGAAGCUAACGCAUUAAGUUCCCCGCCUGGGGAGUACGGUCGCAAGGCUA